rnacentral:rRNA from 1 species
UUCGGCUGGGUCUUGCACAGGUGCUGCAUGGCUGUCGUCAGCUCGUGUCGUGAGAUGUUGGGUUAAGUCCCGCAACGAGCGUAACCCUCACCCUUAGUUGCCAGCGGGUAAUGCCGGGGACUUUAAGGGAACUGCCAGUGGUAAGCUGGAGGAAGGUGGGGAUGAUGUCAAGUCAGCAUGGCCCUUAUGGGGUGGGCUACACACSUGCUACAAUGGUGACUACAAUAGGUUGCAAUGYCGCAAGGCUGAGCUAAUCCGUCAAAAGUCAUCUUAGUUCGGAUUGUCCUCUGCAACUCGAGGGCAUGAAGCAGGAAUCGCUAGUAAUCGUGGAUCAGCAUGCCACGGUGAAUACGUUCUCGGGUCUUGUACACACUGCCCGUCACGCCAUGGGAA